UACGUAGGGUGCGAGCGUUAAUCGGAAUUACUGGGCGUAAAGCGUGCGCAGGCGGUUCGUUGUGUCGGCGGUGAAAGCCCCGGGCUCAACCUGGGAAUGGCCGUUGAAACUGGCGAACUGGAGUGUGGCAGAGGGGGGUGGAAUUCCGCGUGUAGCAGUGAAAUGCGUAGAGAUGCGGAGGAACACCGAUGGCGAAGGCAGCCCCCUGGGCUGACACUGACGCUCAGGCACGAAAGCGUGGGGAGCGAACAGG
rnacentral:rRNA from 1 species